CUUGCCAGUAUUCAAGCAUUUCACUUCUAUACACAAACUACAAUUAAAAGGAAAAGUGUAUUUUUAUGGUUACCGCUCGAUCUUUUUACUUCACCUAAAAGAUUUCUUUAUACCAAAAGCACUUUGGGCUCUUGUGAAUAAAUCUUCUUCAAACGUGCAGUCAUAAAUAACUUUUCAAGUAUUAUAAUUUUUAAUCUAAACUGAAACAUGGUAUAACACUUCUAUCUCAUUCAAUGUUGUACUCAAGCAUCCCUGUGCUGCAAUACUUAGGUAAUGAGAACUGAUUUGGUUUACUUGUUCAACUGAUUUGAUUAGCAUUCAAUUGAUACUUUAUAUGUUUUCUUUCUUCGGAAAAGAAAAGCAUGAUGACUGUUUAGGAUAUAUUUGAUGUAUUGAGCCACCUUUAUAUUCUAACUUCAUACAUAAUCUUAGAAAAACCAGCUGCUUAGUCGCUUAGAUGACUUCAUGGUUCCCUUCUCCAAUGGGCCUAAUGUGGUCAUUGAUGCAUAUGCCAUAGUUGCAUCUGUCAACUUCAUUUUAAGGGAAGCUUUUUUCUUUUUCUUAUACUCUUACUGGGUUCACAAUUAUUUUUCAAUUCUCAUGGUAUUUUUCUUUUUUUCAUUUUUUUUUCUGUGUGUGAUGCUCUUUUCUAAAUUGUUAAAGCCUAUAUCUUCAUUAUUAAUUCUAUGUAAGGUAAAUUAUCUAUAAUUUGUUACAUAACAGAUUACAUGAAGCCUGAUCCAGAGACAUACAAUUGGGUUAUUCAAGCUUAUACUAGAGCUGAAUCUUAUGACAGUAUUAAUGCCAUGGACCCUAAAUCAUGGAAGAUCCUACAACUGUUGUGAUUGAGACAGAUUUUCAAUGGUGUAUUUCUCAAAGUGACCCAACUAAUAUUAUAGGGACUACAUAACAACACCUUGCAUAUUCAGGGAGUAUUGAUUAAAAUGGAGUUUACUCAUUUCUCAGAUCGUGAUGGCGGCGCAGCUAAUCCGUGAUCGAG